AUUCAGACAUGGAACCCUAGCAGUCAUACAACUCCGAUUCUAGGGGAUUCUAUAUACUUUUUCCUCUUGUUUUCAUUUCUGAUUCUAGACAUUCAAUUUUUUCCCAUUGGUUGGUUCCUCCUAAUAUGUCUAAUAAUGUACGUGCUUGUCACAAUACGAUUACAACAAUUUUUCCGUGCUCAGUUCAUACUUGACUAUUCUUCAAAAUUCUUUGUUUAUCUAUUCUUGUUUCUUUUUACAGGGGGGGUGUAAGCAGAGAUACCAACCAUCAAAAUUCAGAGAGCAAUAUCAUCAUUGAAGACCUGGACCAAACUUUUCAUGGCAAUGUUUCUGAAGUUGAGGCCUCUAAUAUUGAUUUAACAGAAACGGAUGCAUCAGAUGGCAUGUUGCUUGAUGGUAUCAGAAAAUGCUGCAAAAGAGUGAUGAGAGUAAACAUGGGAGGAAUGUUUUGAAGGAGCAAAGCAGGAAGAUGGGAACAACCCAAGAAUGUUUGAAUAAAGGAAGAGCAAGUGCGUAUAUCAGAUUUAGCAUAGGGUGUUCUUCCAAGAUAGUCGACAGUGUUUGCAAAAGCAAUUACAGAAUGGAGCUUGUGAAGAACUCUGGAUUCGGAUACAUGCUUGUGAAGAACUCUGGAUUCAAGCAAUUUUGCCAAGGCCUACAUCUGGUCCCAAGCUUUUUUUUUACAACAAACAAACAAAUUAAGCCCACAAACACAAGGCCUAGGCUCAGGAAACUUGCCGAGAGUGUGGGGUGGUGGAGGGGGAGAGGGACGGCCCAGCCCUGGAAGCGUCCAACAAAAAAGGAUGAGCAACGACAAACAAUCGAACGACUGGGUGACAAACAAUCGAAAGACAGAACAAGAACAGAGACGAUCGGGAGGCUACAAACAGGAUGAUGUCAUGUUAGAUUGUGAUAUAAUUAUGUCACCUCUAGAUGUGUCCUAGAUGGACCCUAUAUAUAUAGCACAAGCAACCCAUCUAAAGACCUCGCAAACCUGUAUUAGUUCUGGACUCCAAAUCCUACACGGACUAAUACUCCUACACCUAAUUACAAGUACUACUAGGACACGUGCAAACUAGCCUACCAUCCGGACUCAACCAGCCAAAGCUAACACAACACGGCUUCCUAACGUACCUGAUACUAGGAAACU